GGCGCACGGGUGAGUAACGCGUAUCCAACCUUCCCACAACUAAGGGAUAACCUGCCGAAAGGCAGACUAAUACCUUAUGUAAUCCUUUGAUGGCAUCAGAUAAGGAUAAAAGAUUUAUCGGUUAUGGAUGGGGAUGCGUCUGAUUAGCUUGUUGGCGGGGUAACGGCCCACCAAGGCAACGAUCAGUAGGGGUUCUGAGAGGAAGGUCCCCCACAUUGGAACUGAGACACGGUCCAAACUCCUACGGGAGGCAGCAGUGAGGAAUAUUGGUCAAUGGACGGAAGUCUGAACCAGCCAAGUAGCGUGCAGGAUGACGGCCCUAUGGGUUGUAAACUGCUUUUGUAUGGGGAUAAAGUCAAUCACGUGUGAUUGUUUGCAGGUACCAUACGAAUAAGGACCGGCUAAUUCCGUGCCAGCAGCCGCGGUAAUACGGAAGGUUCGGGCGUUAUCCGGAUUUAUUGGGUUUAAAGGGAGCGUAGGCCGGAGAUUAAGUGUGUUGUGAAAUGUAGACGCUCAACGUCUGACUUGCAGCGCAUACUGGUUCACUUGAGUAUGCACAACGUAGGCGGAAUUCGUCGUGUAGCGGUGAAAUGCUUAGAUAUGAC
rnacentral:rRNA from 1 species